rnacentral:lncRNA from 1 species
AUGAGUCACUCCCUUCCCCUUCCAAUUAGUGCGAGGAAGGGCUCCGCUCGGCUUCGCGACCGCAAAUCUGGGGCUCGGGGACCUGCCCCGACUCGGGAACAAAGCCCGCAAGGUGGCCUUUCAGGUCCUGCCCGCGGCUCCCAAAUCCUGUUGCAUCCCCGAGCCGAAAUGGCUCCUCCAGCCUCCAGCCUCCAGCCUCCAGCCUCCAGCCUCCAGCCUAGCCUCCAGCCUCCAGCCUCCAGCCUCCAGCCUCCAGCCUCCAGCCUCCAGCCCGGAGCGACUCCGGCCCCGGCUGUGUGCCGACCUGGAAAGCCUCCUCCGCCGGCCCGGUCGGAAUUGAGCAAGUCUGCGAUCGCUUUGUUUUGGAGGAUGCGCGCCCUCUGCAACCCCCCUCACCUCUCGCGGCUCCGCUGCGCUGGCCGGAGGUUGCUUUCCACCCCGGAGAGCCCCCAGAGCACCUUCAAGGAAGUAAUGCCGAGAACUCCAGUGAUGGGAGACGUUAAGGAGCUGGGGGAAAGCAGCCCCGAGGUCGACGUGGCCUCUCCCUGCAGAGCGGCCACCAGGGUCGAUCACCGCUGCACACACGCGCGCACACACAUGCACACACAGGCGUGCACGUGGCAUUUGCAUGUAGUGUGUUGGAGAGGGUCUGGGCGGACCUUUCUAAUGAAACAGCGUCGUCACAACUUUGAAGGAGGGCGGGCUGUGGAAACUCCAGAAAUGCCCGGUUUCUCACAGCCCUACAACAUUACCUCACCCCCCCUCCAAAGAGUUCAGAUGCAUGCCCUUCAAAUGUUCACUGUUGGAACCACAGUCACAAAAAGAAUCCGAGUAUUUAGACAUGACUCCGCUGUUCACUCCUAUUCUGGAGAUGUCUACGAUCCACAGGGAAAAAGAACAUGCUCAGGGAUAACUAGACCAUGUUGCAAAAUUACUAAGACCCAACAAACUGCUGAAAAGCAAAACAAAACAGUGUGCCAUGAGAACAGAAGAUGGAAGGGAUCUUUUCAGUGA